UACGGGGGGGCAAGCGUUGUUCGGAAUUACUGGGCGUAAAGGGUUUGUAGGUGGUCUGUUAAGUCAGACGUGAAAUCCCUCAGCUUAACUGGGGAACUGCGUCUGAGACUGAUGACUUGAGGGCAGGAGAGGAACGCGGAAUUCCAGGUGUAGCGGUGAAAUGCGUAGAUAUCUGGAGGAACACCGGUGGCGAAGGCGGCGUUCUGGACUGUUUCUGACACUGUAAACGAAAGCCAGGGAGCAAACGGGG
rnacentral:rRNA from 1 species